CGCCCAGCUGCAGUGUGACCCCGCCAGUCCCGGAAACUCUCCAAACCCAGGACCUCAACGGACGUCCGGCAACUCAGAGGGGAGGCAGCAGGGCCUGCCAGGACGGAGGGCGUGUGGGACGCCUCUGAGGUCCCGUUGAGAAAGGAAGAGCUGUGUUUUAUCCUACUCUAGAGUCAGAAGGCUGUGUGAUGUCCUCCCAGUGUUAACAGAAGUAGCUGGGCGGCCUUCAGAAAUGCUUUUCAUCCCCAGAUGCUGGCAUUGGGCGGUGCACAUAUCCUGGAUUUAUUAAUUUUUAAAAAGUUGCCACUUGUUGAAGAGUGUUUAUCAUGUGCUGGGCACUUGCUCAGUUUGCUCCCUACAUGGAUCCUUCACCAGCUCAGGGAGAUACAAUGACAUUAUCAUUGUGCCCUUUUCAUAGAUGAGGAAACUGAAGCUCAAGGGCAAGGGUUACUUGCUCAAGGUCACAGAAAUACUAACUACUGGAGUCCGGAUUCAAAACCAGGUAGGUCUGGCUGAUUUCAGACCGCAGCUUCUUAAUUUUCCUAGAAGGCAGGAACCGAAGUUCAUACACCCUUGCGGAAUACCUAGACCUGACAGGUACCCAAUAAAGAAGCAUUGAAUAGAGCUUGACACAUUUUCGGGGGUCUGAUUCUCUCCAUUAUAGUCUGAUGAAAUGACAGACUGGGCAAAAGUACGUAUCUCAGCGACAAGCAUACAGUUGGUCCACAUACAUCUAAAGAUGUCGGGAGUCUGGCAGAGGGGAGGAAAGACACCUGCUUUCUUUGCUGAUGCCGCUGAGGGAGCCCUUCUGUCUGCCUGGAUGGAGGUAGCCUGGAGGCUUCUGGACCUAGAAGCUUGGCUUGCACAGAACUCUGAGAGGCUGGGUCUCGCUGUCUGGCCCAGGUGUGUGAGAUGUGAUGACUGUGUCCUGCAGUGAAGGAUGCUGGGUGAGUCGGGUCUUGUGAAAGAGGAAGGGGCCUGUGGUGGGCCAGGUAGGCUGACUCCAGGUCCUCUCGUCCCCUCAAGGUGCACUUGGCUUGCUUCCUCAUUCCCUGCCUCCUGGCCUGCCUGUCUUCAACUCUCCUUGAAGUGGUCAGGAUAGUACUGUUCCAUACUUCCAACAGUUCAAGCCUCUCCGGCUGGGUCUUAUCCAAUCCACACUGACGUGGAAUCAGAGUCCAGGCAGAAAACAUAACCUAUUCCAGAAACCUCAGCCGAGGGAAACCAGUUAUAAAGGCAUUGGAAGAGAUGAAAGGGCAGAUGUGGGUGAAAGCUGGCCUUGAGAGUAGCAGCCACGGGAAAAAAACGACACCAUGCCUGGUGGAAGUCUGGAGCAGAGAGAGUGUUUCCAGAACCCAGG
rnacentral:lncRNA from 1 species